GUACUUACUGGCAGCGGAGAUACCAUGAGCAUGAAGUUGGUUUUCCCAGGGCGAGGCUCAUCCAUUGCACUCCAGAUUUGCUGACCCCUGUGAUUCCUCCAAAUGUGGGAAACUGGACUGUAUAAUUUGUGGUCACGGGGAGCUGCCUUUGCACUCUCCCCU
ensembl:snRNA U1 U1 spliceosomal RNA